UACGGAGGGUGCAAGCGUUAAUCGGAAUUACUGGGCGUAAAGCGUGCGCAGGCGGUUUGUUAAGUCCGUUGUGAAAUCUCCGAGCUUAACUCGGAAACUGCAUUGAAUACUAUCUUACUUGAGGUUUGGAGGGGGGACUGGAAUUCUCGGUGUAGCAGUGAAAUGCGUAGAUAUCGAGAGGAACACCAGUGGCGAAGGCGAGUCCCUGGACAACACCUGACACUGAGGCACGAAAGCUAGGGGAGCAAACAGG
rnacentral:rRNA from 1 species